CCCACUGUUACUACUUAGUGGCAAUGUAAGAUACGGGAAUCUUUGGAAGGUAGCCACAAACUCCUAGUUUUGCCGGUUUAAAGUUACAUGCCCCGCGCCCACCGCCUCCAUUUUCCAAGAAGUUUGAUUUCUUACUCAUCUUCUGGACACCUUCUGGAUUGCUUGUUGGAAGUCUACAAGGUGGCCCCUUAGAGCAUUACAUUGGAAAUUGGUCUCAAAUGAUUUAGAGGCUCUUUAAGGAAACUCCGAAGCCAAUUUGUCAGUAUUAAGGUACUUCUGUUUCCUGUGUGAUUGACACUAGCAAUUCUGCAUACUCGGGACUUCUAAGUGCUCAAGGACUGUCUUGUUUGGAUCUCUUUACCUCAAAACUAUAAAUGCGGCCCUUUUUUUGUUUUCUGGUUUCACUGGAAAUGGUGGCUUAGUUCUCAAGCAUCUAGGUUUUCAAGCUGUAAGGAAAUUUUUGUGUGUUAAUAUGAAAAGAAAACCAAGGAUUACUCUAUUCAGAGGGAAAGUGUAGUUUAUUGUAGUUUAUUGUGGGAAGAAAACCCUGUGCAGUUUCAAUAACGUACGUAUACUUGACACAGUUAGCAGGUAGAACCUUUCAUAGUUCAGUGUGAGGGGGAGAGGUACUCUUGGUCCAUCCCUAAUGUUUCCCUCACUUUCAGGGAAGACAUACUAGCCUUAGUCAUCAUGGGUCAGGAUACCACCUGACAUCUGCAGUUGCUAGAAGUCAGCGUAGUGUGAUGAGCGGUACAGGCUCUGGAAUUAGGAAGUCCCAAAUUGUUGGAAUCUUGACAUCGCAGCUCCCUACUUGCGUGAUCUAGGGGUUACCUAAUCUUCCUGGUGCUCAGUUUUCAAAUCGUGUAAAAUAAGAGAGAGAAAAUUGAUCGCACAGGGAGUUGUGUAGAUUGGAUUAAAUAACCAAAUCGCUCAGUUAGGCACAGUUUAAGUGCUUAGUGAGAACGAGCUGUUGUCUUUAUGAGGAGAGGCUGCAUUUUUGCCACCUUCAAUUACAUAGAAUUCGAUCAGAAUAUUUUUGUUGUUGUGAUACCUGCUGUAGAUAUUUGGUUGUUAAUUUUUUCUUUUUUCCAAUGUGUUGGUUACUUUGCCCUUAGAAUAAAAUUGGUAAAGCUUAUGGUACAAGGCCUUUGGUUACUAGUGUAGAAAAAGUAGUCGUUCAACAUUUACUGAAGUAGUGGAUGUUGUUUGCCAGGAAUCACACCUAUUGCUGCAGAUUCAAAGUCAAAUAACACAUGGAUUCUAUCCUCAAGGAAUUUACUAAAAUAUAAUGAGAGACUAACAAGGACAUCAGUAAUACUGAGUGUGUGAUAAACAAAUAGGCACUGGGGCCAUAAAAUAAGUACAAGUUAGCUGGAUAAAGAUCUGGGAAAGGAGGUAUUUCAGGCAGGAGAGCACCAUUCAUUCAAUUCACAAAUAUUUAGAGCAUAAGUCAGGUACCUAUGGACCCUAUUUAAUGUUAACCGUAUGAAAUAGCUUAUUAUUCUCAUUUCAAAUAUAAGGAACUGAGUUGCAGAAAAGUAAAAUAAAUGAGAUUUAGAAUUGAGCGUUUAUCUGUAUGUCUUCAAGAUCCUUUUUUGUUUUGUUUUGUUUUGUUUAAACAAAAAAUCCGUGUUUUUGUUUUGUUUUUUUCUGUUAACCCUGCUGAUUGAUAUACAAGGAAACAUUACCAAAAAUCUGGACCUGCUUCUUCAGCCAGAGAAAAUGUUUACCCAGUCAUUAUCACGGCAUACCUGUUUUUGUGUAAUGGUCAUGGACCAGAGGACUCUGAAAAUAAUGCAGAGCUGCAGCAACACAGGGUCCUGUGUGCCUACCCCUGUCAUCGGCAGCCCCCACACUAACACAGAGUUGAGGAAGAGUUUCCCAAAGGAAUCUGAAGAAAGAAGAGUAAACCUGGGCCCACAGCAAAGGAUGGGGAAAGCUGUGUAAACAAGGAACUACAAUUCCGUCAAUCCCCAGCCAUCUUACACUUGACAGGAAGAUAAUAAGCAACUACAUUUUCUCCAUGCAAAAACCCUUCCAGGUUGUGAGUGCCAUAAAUAUAAUGGAUUGUACUGUACUCAUCACUAGUAUGACGGCAUCUCCCUCUCUCCAUAGGAUCUCAAUGAGGUCAAAAUGGAGUGGACUCACUUCUCCCUAUUCCUCCUACUAAAUACAGCAAAAACUCCUAUACAUUAUAUAGAAAAUAAAUAUAAGGAGACUGAAAGGCGCAGACAAGAAGGCAGACCAGCUAGGGACCUUGGGACUGAGGAAUGAUGCUGUGAAUGUACAUAAGGGCACUUUCGCCACACCAGCCUGCUGAAGCCACUGUCCCUCUGGCCUGCUGCUGCAGUAUCCCCCCUAUGUAACCUCCUGCCAUCAGCUCCUACUCCCUCCAAUCCUUUCUCCACUGAAUGGCUGGAAUGCUGUUUUGGUGAUUUUUUUUAACUGUAAAAAGUACAUAAAGUAAAACUACCAUUUUAACCGUU